rnacentral:rRNA from 1 species
UUUUCUCUUAGUAAGACGUUGUGAUCCAUUAGGAAUCGAUUGUCAAAUAAGAUGAUCAAUAGGCUACCAAUAGACUGGUAUUGAAGUUCAYUCUGGCAAAUAACACGAUCGUUUAUGGUUUUGUAUAUUGUCUUGUGAGCAUACCGUGUACUGAUGUAGCUGCCUGAUGGAUUUUAAAGGUCGUAUCAUUGAUGCUUGUCCAUCACCCGUCUUGUAUGGGCCAGAUAUGUACCCGAUCAACAACGGUUUCAUUUGGGAUACCUUUGGGACCCGUCUUGAAACACGGACCAAGGAGUCUAUCUGUAUGCGAGUAAAUGGGCCAUUAUUUUGUAUGAAACCUAUUUGCGUAAAUAACUUGACUGUUUUAAUGGGAUUACGUGUAUACACUUUAUGUUUGUGCACCUCCAUCCCGGGGUAUUUUCAUCACAUAUAUUUAUAUAUAGAAAAUAUACCAUGAGCAUACUGGACAUGACCCGAAAGAUGGUGAACUAUGCCUGAUCAGGUUGAAGUCAGGGGAAACCCUGAUGGAGGACCGAAGCAAUUCUGACGUGCAAAUCG